AAGUCGUGUAUACAAUUUUCAACAUUUUUGACGAAACCUAUUUCUUAUCGCCAAAUAUUAAAAAAAAAUGUUUAAAUAAAAAAUACAUCUAUGGAUGGCAGCACGGCUGUCCCGACCACUGAUAAUCGAGCUACUCACUACUACAACACACCAGAAACCUAUUUUCUUUUUGAACCAGUUACAAAGGGGUAAUGCUUUUGCUGUACUCCCAUGACGCCACUAGUACUACCGUUUAUUUAUACAAAACAAUGCAAACUGUAUGACCAAUGUUUGGCGCAAAAGCCACAGAUUACGAGUGUUUAAUAUUUUAGUAGGUACAACAAAUUUAUCCAUAAUUGUAACGCAUUUUUUUUAGGCCAGAAGCCCACAAGCUCCGGUAAAACAGGUGGAAGUCUGCAUGGCCAAAACGAAUAUAAGAAUGUGGCAGAUCAAGCCAUGUCUGCUUUGAAAUGAUCCAUUUAUCAACAAUAAUAUUAAAGACAUUUUUAACAUGUAUUAAAAGAUAAACGAAUUUCAAUUUUCAACCUCUAUUCAAAUGAGUUAUUUUUAUCAGAUUUUUUAAAAACCAAAUUAUUUAAAAUGUAUAACAGUAAAUUUAUAUUUUAUAUUUUACCAUGUAUGGUAUUGUUAGCGAUAAACUCAGAGUACAGUAGUAGGUACAACCUUAAGAAAACGAUAUUUUAAUAUUUAUAUAAUUGUAUAUAAUUCUUCAGUGUAUACAGUUGUCGAUGUUAAUGAUAGUGUAACAUUUGAACGACUUCAUCGUUUCAAUAAAAGUAAUAUCAAUAAAUGCCUUGAUACUUGGA